rnacentral:rRNA from 1 species
AUACGGAGGGAGCUAGCGUUAUUCGGAAUUACUGGGCGUAAAGAGCGCGUAGGCGGUUAUACAAGUUGGAAGUGAAAGCCCAAGGCUCAACCUUGGAACUGCUUUCAAAACUGUAUAACUAGAGAUUGAUAGGGGAUAGCGGAAUUCCUAGUGUAGAGGUGAAAUUCUUAGAUAUUAGGAGGAACACCGGUGGCGAAGGCGGCUAUCUGGAUCAAUACUGACGCUAAGGUGCGAAAGCGUGGGGAGC